rnacentral:rRNA from 1 species
CCUACGGGAGGCAGCAGUGAGGAAUAUUGGACAAUGGGCGCAAGCCUGAUCCAGCCAUGCCGCGUGCAGGAAGAAGCAUCUAUGGUGUGUAAACUGCUUUUGUACAGGAAGAAACACUCCCUCGUGAGGGAGCUUGACGGUACUGUAAGAAUAAGGACCGGCUAACUCCGUGCCAGCAGCCGCGGUAAUACGGAGGGUCCGAGCGUUAUCCGGAAUCAUUGGGUUUAAAGGGUCCGUAGGCGGUUUAAUAAGUCAGUGGUGAAAUCUGGUCGCUCAACGAUCAAACGGCCAUUGAUACUGUUAGACUUGAAUUAUAAGGAAGUAACUAGAAUAUGUAGUGUAGCGGUGAAAUGCUUAGAUAUUACAUGGAAUACCAAUUGCGAAGGCAGGUUACUACUUAUGGAUUGACGCUGAUGGACGAAAGCGUGGGGAGCGAACAGGAUUAGAUACCCUGGUAGUCCACGCCGUAAACGAUGGAUACUAGCUGUUCGGAGNAUAUGAGUGGNGUAGACGAAGUAGAGUAAGUAAGUACCACCGUCGGGAGGUAACGGUUCGUCGAAGAAAGUAGAAACGUUAACGAAAGGAAAGUUAGUUACGGCGUUGAGACGAGCCGACGGACGACGACGAGGGGAGGAGGAG